GAUGAACGCUGGCGGCGUGCCUAAUACAUGCAAGUCGAGCGAACAGACGAGGAGCUUGCUCCUCUGACGUUAGCGGCGGACGGGUGAGUCACACGUGUAUACCCUCCCUAUCAGACUGGGAUCACUUCGGGACACCGGCGCUAAUCCCGGAUAAUAUAUUGAACCGCAUGGUUCAAUAGUGAAAGACGGUUUUGCGGUCACUUCUAGCUGGAUACGGGCCGGAUUGGCUAGUUGGUAGGGUAACGGGUUACCAAGGCAACGAUGCGUAACCGACCGGAGAGGGUGGUCGGCCACACUGGAGCUGAGACAGGGUCCAGACUCCUACGGGAGGCAGCAGUAGGGAAUCGGCCGCAGUGGGCGAAAGCCUGACGGAGCAACGGCGCGUGAGUGAUGAAGGUCUUCGGAUCGUAAAACUCUGUUAUUAGGGAAGAACAAAUGUGUAAGUAACUAUGCACGGCUUGACGGUACCUAGUCAGAAAGCCACGGCUAACUACGUG
rnacentral:rRNA from 1 species